rnacentral:rRNA from 1 species
AAGGAUCAUUGUCGAUACCUGUCCAAAACAGAACGACCCGCGAACAUGUAAUUACAAUCACCUGAUGAGGAAACGGGCUAUGGCCUUGAUCCUUGGUCCCUUGUCGGCGUGCGUUUGUGCCGCUCCGAAUGGAACGCCAUAGAUGUUUUGUUGACAAGUUAACCAACCCCGGCACGGAAUGUGCCAAGGAAAAAGAAAACAAAAGAAGGUUGUCCCGGUUUUUGCCCCGUUCGCGGUGUGCAUGCUGGUUGUGACUCUUUGAAACAUAAACGACUCUCGGCAACGGAUAUCUCGGCUCACGCAUCGAUGAAGAACGUAGCAAAAUGCGAUACUUGGUGUGAAUUGCAGAAUCCCGUGAACCAUCGAGUUUUUGAACGCAAGUUGCGCCCGAAGCCAUCCGGCCGAGGGCACGCCUGCCUGGGCGUCACACAUCGCGUCGCUCCCCCAUGUAUAUCAGAUUUGGGAUGCAUGGUGUCGGGGCGGAGAUUGGUCUCCUGUGCAACUGCUGCGGUGGCCCAAACAUGAAUCACCUUCGGUUGACGCACGGCUAGUGGUGGUUGAAUAAGCCCUCGUCUUUUGUCGUGCGUCGUUUGCUGCAAGGAAAGCUCUUGUAUAAAGACCUAAUGCGUUGUCUUGUGAUGACGCUUCGACCGCGACCCAGGUCAGGCGGGACUACCCGUUGAGUUUAAGCAUAUC